UUUUUUUUUUUUUUUUUUUUUUUUUUUUUUUUUUUUUUUUUUUUUUUUUUUUUUUUCCGCCGUCUUGCCGAAGGAAGGGCU
rnacentral:ribozyme from 13 species